rnacentral:rRNA from 1 species
AAUGAACGCUGGCGGCGUGCCUAACACAUGCAAGUCGUACGAGAAAUCCCAAGCUUGCUUGGGAGAGUAAAGUGGCGCACGGGUGAGUAACGCGUGGGCAACCUGCCCCUGAAUCGGGGAUAACUCCGCGAAAGCGGAGCUAAUACCGGAUAAGACCACGGCCGCUCCGGCGGCAGAGGUAAAAGCUGACCUCUCCAUGGAAGUUAGCGUUUGGGACGGGCCCGCGGCCUAUCAGCUUGUUGGUGGGGUAAUGGCCUACCAAGGCUACGACGGGUAGCUGGUCUGAGAGGAUGAUCAGCCACACUGGAACUGGAACACGGUCCAGACUCCUACGGGAGGCAGCAGUGAGGAAUUUUGCGCAAUGGGCGAAAGCCUGACGCAGCAACGCCGCGUGGGUGAAGAAGGCUUUCGGGUCGUAAAGCCCUGUCAGGUGGGAAGAACCGCUCCGGCACUAAUAUUGCCGAAGCCUGACGGUACCACCAGAGGAAGCACCGGCCAACUCCGUG